GAUGAAGAACGUAGCGAAAUGCGAUAAGUAAUGUGAAUUGCAGAAUUCAGUGAAUCAUCGAAUCUUUGAACGCACAUUGCGCCCCUUGGUAUUCCGGGGGGCAUGCCUGUUCGAGCGUCAUUAUAACCCUCAAGCCUAGCUUGGUGUUGGAGCAUGCUACCUAAGCAGCCCUUAAAAUCAGUGGCAGUGCCCUUCGGCUCUAAGCGUAGUAACUUCUCUCGCUAUGGAACCCGGAGGGUACGCGCCAGAACCCCCAACUUUCUAUGGUUGACCUCGGAUCAGGUAGGGAUACCCGCUGAACUUAAGCAUAUCAAUAAGCGGAGGA
rnacentral:misc_RNA from 1 species